rnacentral:tRNA from 1 species
GGAUGAGUGUCUGAGCGGUUUAAGGUACCAGUUUUGAAAACUGGAGUAUUAAAAAUACCGAAGGUUCGAAUCCUUCCUUGUCCG